rnacentral:lncRNA from 1 species
AUGAUAACUGCUCACCUACUCACUCUUCAGAAGGUCCCAUUAUCAAAAUAUCAUCAAUAUAAUGACGGAUGGUACACUCUGGAAGGAGGGGAGGGAGAUCAGCUGAGGUCAUCUGGUGGCAAAUGGGGGGCUACGUUUACAGCGCUGAGGAAGGACUUGAAAUGUAUAUUGCUUAUUAUUCCAUGUAAACGCGAAUUGAUCCUGCGAUUGCGGGGAGAUAGCGACGGAGAAGAAUGCAUUCGCCAAAUCAAUGACAGCUUUCCAUUCCUGCAGAUGUUUCCCUAUGCCUUCCAGCAGAGUUACCAUGUCAGAGCACCAGCGAAUUCGCAGGGGUACCUAAGGACAACGGUCCCCCCGAUGGUAAGCCGCAACMRAUGCUCAUAUUGCGGGGGUCCCAUCUCCCCCUCGUUGUCUCUUGGCUGGCAGUUUCCACACUGUGGCUGGAGCAGGGAGGGCAGCAGGCUGUGUUCAGUAUUGCUGAUCAGCAGGUAACUGCCGCCACCUCUUGAAUAAGUCAGCAGUAGAAAGACCAUUUAUCUCUUCACGUAAUACCCCUGCCUGCAGCAAAUCAGCCCACAUCUGCUGCCUUGUUACCUUUCCACUCAACUUAGUAGCUCCCUGCCAAUUGUCUCACCUAGGAAUUCCAAACUCCUCUCACUUGCUUAGUAUCUGGUUAUCCAACAAGUGUCAAAGCCCUUGUGUUGUUUACCAAAGCCCCCACUGUCCCAGUUGCAGGCAUUACUGUGCCAAGCAGUAACGGCUUUAAGGCACUUGAAGCCCCCCUUAAUAAGUGGGUUUUCAUCUGACACAUUAUUUCUACAACAUCCGGUCCUGCUCCAUCUGCUAAUCCAAUUGUUACCCUAGCUGCCACAACACGUUGAUCCCUUCCUCAAAAGCAUGCCUAUGGGAUGUUUGAAACACUCCGUGGCAGCCCAUAGGACUAACAAACAGCAGAAAUUCUCUUUGGGAGACAUUCAGCCGUACCAGCGACUUAUAUCCCAGCUGUUAGAGAAUAUUGGAGUGAAGCUGCCUAGAGUUGAUUGCUCAGCAUAACUUCCUCCAGGGGAAAUCAUGCCUAACCAAACUGAUAGCCUUCUAUAAUGGAAUGACUGGCUGGGUAGAUGAGGGGAGAGCAGUGGCUGUUGUCUACCUUGACUUCAGCAAGGCUUUUGGCACUGUCUCCCACAACAUCCUCCUAGGGAAGCUGAGGAAGAGAGGGCUAGAUGAGUGGACAGUGAGGUGGAUUGAGACCUGGCUGAAUGGCAGAGCUCAGAGGGUUGUGAUCAGUGGCACAGAGUCUAGUUGGAGGCCUGUAGCUAGUGGUGUCCCCCAGGGGUCAGGACUGGGCCCAGUCUUGUUCAACUUCUUCCUCAAUGACCUGGAUGAAGGCACAGAGUGCACCCUCAGCAAGUUUGCUGCUGAUCGCAAACUGGGAGGAG